rnacentral:tRNA from 1 species
AGCUUCGUAGCUCAGCUGGUAGCGCGUUUGCUGUACAAAAGCGUAGGCGGCAACCGUGUGUGGGUUCGAAUCCCACUGAGGCUA